UGUGCCUCCUCUGUGUUUUUUCACAUUAGUCAAUUAUAAGCAGUGGAUAGUCUCAAGUAUCUUUGUUCUCAUUUCCCAGCUUGAAAAUAGCUGGAAAGUAAUGUCAUUAUCCUUAUGGACGUGAAGAGAAGCUUCAUUGGAUUCCAGGAAGUUUGAAAACAAACGAAUACUCAAGGACAGAAUAAUUCUAACCCUUGGUGGGGAUUUUCACCAGAACCUGGUUCCUGAAAAGCUUUACCUCAAAAAUGGCUAUGACUGAAUUCCUAACAGGAGUUUUCUCUGAGCACCAUGUGACCCUAGGAGAUGAAAUAAGAUUGUUUUGGCUGCCAAGGAGGAGUGACAUCAGUAUCAUGGUGGCAUAAGAUGUUUCUCAUUUUUGUCCCCCACCCCUAACAAGAACACUUCAUCAUCCAUCCAUGAACAAAAGCCUUUGUAGGAGUUGUGGGAUCCAGCACUGAUCUCCAAGGGACCUGGGAGGAGUCUCGCCCACAUGUGCACUGGUAAUAGGCAGACAGACCUUGGUCCUGGCUAUUAGCCCUAUAGUGACCCAUGAGCCAGCUCCAGUACCUCUCAAGUCUGGUCUGGGAGCUCCUGGAGAACACUGACUUUGACAAUCACUGAUGGAUGAGAGAGCCUUUGUGGAAGUCCAGGUUUCCAGAGGAGAAGUUCCAGCAAUCUGCGAGGGCAAAAAGAUAGGUUUGCAUGGAGUGGGUAAGAGAAAUAGCUUGACUUUACCUGCAUCACCCCCUAAUCAAGCCAGCACAGCUUCAGACCAAAGGAAACCUUCUUGGCCUGUGAUUUCUUCUCUAGGAGAAAGGAAGAGCCUAUGAGUGAGCAUUUGGCUUCCCCAGUUGUGUGAGACACUGCCAAAAAGGUGCAUUUCCCAUCCAGAAUACUACAUUGGGAGCUCCAUGAGUUGGGGGUAGGAAGAGUCUGGGAGAGCAAUAGAUAGGACUCACAGAGGGCAUUAAAGGGACAUGGAUCCUACCAACUGUGCCAUGGACUCCAUGAAGAAGCUUGCCCAUAAGCUGUUGGGAUCACCAAUGGAUCACCCAAACUGGCCCACAGGCACUACCAACGCCCUAUGUGCCUCACCUGCUUUCCCUCUAUGCCCAAUGGCAGGCUCCCUGUGUGCCUUCCUGAGGGCCAUGGUGAAAACCAGCCAUGGAAGAUAGCUGGCGACCACAUGCAGAAAGCAGACCCAAAACUGCAGACCGGAGAGAGAUCACACACUUGAGCUGUAGUGCCAUCCUUUGGGAAAACAAAAGAGAGACUAUCAGCACUUGGCCUGGUGCAUUGCAGAAUCCAGAGAAGGCAUACAGGCUUAAGAAUUCUGCCAUAAGAGGGAACAAGAAGCACGGAGUGGGUAUAUCCAUAGAAGGUCUGAGAAAUUCUCAAAAUAUCCAGCAGGGCUAAUGGAAAGUAUUUACCCUUGAAGGGAUGGAAGAUUGGUUUAUUGACUUGCAAUCUUCCUUCUUUUCUUAAUAUAGGCAUUUACAAGUAUACAUUUCCCUCUAGGAACUACUUUUGCUGCUUCUUGUAAGUUUUGGUAUGCAGUGUUUUUGUUUUGUUCACCUCAAAGUAUUUUGUAAUUUCCUUGUGAUUUCUUCUUUGGCACAAUGGAAUGUAUUAUUUAAUUUCCUCAUAUUUUAAAUUCCUCAAAUUUCCUUCUGUUAUUGAUUUCUAAUUUAAUUCCAUAGUGGUUGGGGAACAUUCAUUUGUGAUUUCAACCCUUUUCAAUUCAUUGAGGCUUGUUUUAUGGCCUAACACGUGAUCUAUCCUGGGUAAUGACCCACAAAUACUAGAAAAGAAUGCACAUUGUGAUGUUGCUGGGUAGACUGUACUGUUCGUAUCCGUUGGGUUUAACUGGUUUACAGCGUUGUUCAAGUCUUCUGUUUCACCAUUGAUCUUCUCUCUACCCACUGUAUCCAUUGUUGAAAGUGAGAUAAUUUAGUCUGCAGCUAGUAUUUUUUUUUUUUAAAGAUUUUAUUUUUUUCCUUUUUCUCCCCAAAGUCCCCCGGUACAUAGUUGUGUAUUCUUCGUUGUG